rnacentral:sRNA from 1 species
AACUGACGCCAGCCAAAUUGUUGAUGAUUCAACAACCGGGGGAUCCAAAUCUGGGGUGAAUUCGACAGUUUUCGGUCGAAGGGGCCACUCUCCGCGCCCUAACCCGUCAGCUAACUCCGGAGGCAAAAUUGUUGAGGGGAGAU